ensembl:snRNA U1 U1 spliceosomal RNA
AUACUUACCUGGCAGGGGAGAUACCAUGAUCACGAAGGUGGUUUUCCCAGGGCGAGGCUUAUCCAUUGCACUCCGGAUGUGCUGACCCCUGCGAUUUCCCCAAAUGUGGGAAACUCGACUGCAUAAUUUGUGGUAGUGGGGGACUGGGUUCGCGCUCUCCCCUG